rnacentral:misc_RNA from 1 species
UGAAGUCUUCGUGAGUGCGCUUGCGGGUGUGCAUGCUUGCCCGCUGUUCCUCAGCUCUGUGCACACAGCAUGACCGACCCACUCUCCUUACAGGCGACGCGCAAGGCCCUCAUCGAAGGGAAGGCCGAUGCCCGCACCAGGGCCGCACAGGUGAUCUCAUCACGCACAUCACAACUCUAUAAGGAUGUGCCCGCCGCCGAAGCGGAAGAAGUUGCAGUGGUGGAAUUACGUGGCGUCGAAGAGCAGCUGCUGCGCAGCACCGCAGCAGUCUACCGCCGGGCUGGUCUCCUAUGCGUACGUGCGGUGUGUGCUGGUCUUCCGCCGCAACCACUGGGCAGCGAGCUGCUGAUGCACUUACUGGAUCCUGUGCUGCGCAGCAUGGGCGACGCGGACCCGAUCGUCCGCAUUGCCGCCAUCGAAGCGUGCUACGAGCUUGUGCGCCACCACGGGGCAGAAGCGUGGGGGGCGCGAUUCACGGAUCUCUUCACUGCACUCUCCAUCGCCGUGAGCGACCGCGACAAGCGCGUUUUUCUGCUAGCGGAGGAGGUUUCGUGUACGCUGAAAGAGUCGGUGAGCCGCAGCGGGGCUUCUGCGGUGGACAUGAACACCUUUGCCUCCUUUGUGUCCGACACGCUAGGCAACUACACAUCGACGUCGGGACCGCUUGUUGUCGACGUGGCCGCGGCCGUGUCUCAGUGGAUCCUCCAGUGGCUGCGGUUUGUGCUGGAACUGCCCGGCUGCCACUUCGCCGCCUCCAUGGCGCCGCUCCUUCGCGUGCUGCUCGCCGCCUCUGUCAGCAACGACACAAACGUGUUUCACAUUCUGCGUGAAUGCCGGCACAGUGUCUCACAACACUAUUCCGCGGACACAGCAGCGGAUGUAUGCGAGGUGGUGGGCGCCUUGUGCACAUGCGUACACGACACAACAUCUGCGCGGGCGCGCGUUUUCUGCCUGGAGUGGUUGUCGGAGCUCGUCCACCUCGGAAUUCAUGACGACAUUUUCCAACGCCACCUGUCCCGUGUUCUGCAGGCGACACUGCCUGAGCUCAGCUCGGUCGAUGGCUCCACGCAUGCGGCGGCCGUCAUCACAAACCAGGAGGUGCAACACGCGAUUGUGUCUGUCGGGGACGGCGUGUCGGCCGGGGUGAUCGAUGUGCUUUUGCGGAGCGUAUUGGAGUUGCUUGAGAGCGGUGCUGGGGAGGAGACGCUCAUAGGUGGACUCGAAUGGCUUCUUGUCCUGCACCACCUUGCACCUGCAUCGUCGGAGAAUCUACUUAGCAACGUGCUAGGGAGGAUUACCAUGUUGCUCGACGUCGCUCCAGAAAACGUGGCGCACCGAGGCACCGAGGUGGCGUGCGUGCUCACGAACAACGGUCACUUUUCAGAGUUUGUGCAGCUCGUGCUGCACCGGCUGUUGCACCACAAUCACGACGGGCAGCUGCUGCGGCGCUUCCCCGAUGUAGUGCGCCGGUUACACACGCUGCGCAGCGGGCUCGAGGAGGAGGACUUGAGGGAGGGCGUGCUCGUCCACUUCGCACGCGCGCUGUCUUGCAUGACCGACUUGCGAUUUGUGAGCAAGGUGGUGCUCUCCCUCCAAGCCAUGCUGGCCACGUUCCCUGAGCUUGACGAUGUUCGGACGCUGCUGCGCCGCGGGCUGACAAACACCGACGCGGCGGAGAUAUUCUCGACGCUGCUGCCGUGCUGGUGCUACAACGCUGUAGCGCUGCUCUCGCUCGGACUGCUGUGUCGUCACUUCGUCUUCACCCGGCGCAUCUGUGAGCAUCUCGGUGAGGGCGAGAUGUCCGUUGCCACUUACGUGCAGCUCGAUCACUUGGUGCAGCAGCUAGAGUCGUCCGCCUUCACCUUUUUGCGCGUGUCCCUGUUGCACCCCACGUCAUGCCCGGCGCUGGUGCAGACGCUGUACGUGCUGCUCCUCCUCCUUCCCCAAUCGUCACCUCACUAUGCGAUGCUUUCCCGUCGCCUGCAGCCUGUUACGGUGCUGGUGCAGCUGGACAAGGUAGCCGCCCAGCCUCUCGCGGCAGCAGACCAGGUCGAGGUGUCUGCCGCCGAUUGGGACCGAUACAUAUCUGCUCAAGAAGCCCUUCUGCGGUAUGAGCAAACGCUGUGAGGUUGGCGAAGGGCAGCCCCGCGUAGAAAACCGAAGAAGACUCUCGCCAUCUUUUCCUCUCUUCUUUUUUCCCCGUCCGCUGCCAAGGUAGUCAACCUUGGCAGCGAGGAUGGCUACGCUUUCUCGCGGUGCUCUCCCUCCAUACGCUUCUCUGUCCUGGCGCUCCUAUCGGUGCGGUACCGUGACGCUUUCUGCUUUGGCCACUUUGGGCUUCUAGCACGGAGGUAAAGAUGAUCCGACGAGCACGCAUCGACCGGUGAAAGCAGAAGUAC